rnacentral:RNase_P_RNA from 1 species
CGAGUCGACCGGGCGGUCGCGUCGGUGGGCGGCAGCCCGCCGCCGAGGAACGUCCGGACUCCACAGGGCAGGGUGGUUGCUAACGGCAACCCGGGGCGACCCGCGGGACAGUGCCACAGAAAACAGACCGCCGCCCCAAACUGGGACGGUAAGGGUGAAACGGUGGGGUAAGAGCCCACCAGCACCCCGGGUGACCGGGGUGGCUCGGUAAACCCCACCCGGAGCAAGGCCAAGUAAGGCCGUCACCGCAAGCUGACGGCCUGCGCAGACGCUUGAGGGCGGCCCGCCCGAUGUCUGCGGGUAGGCCGCAAGAGCCUGUCGGCGACGGCAGGCCGAGAUGGAUGACCGCCGCCGGCGCAAACCCCUCAGGGGUACGCGCCGCGCACAGAAUCCGGCGUACAGGUCGACUCGUCCG